rnacentral:tRNA from 1 species
GGCCCCAUAGUUCAAGGGAUAGAAUAAGCCUUUCCUAAAGGUUAGAUGCAUGUUCGAGUCAUGCUGGGGCCGCCA